rnacentral:rRNA from 1 species
UACAGAGGGUGCGAGCGUUGUCCGGAAUCACUGGGCGUAAAGGGCGCGUAGGUGGUGGCUUAAGCGUGCGGUGAAAGCUCGGGGCUCAACCCCGAGUCGGCCGUGCGAACUGGGCUCACUGGAGCAUAGUAGAGGCAGGUGGAAUUCCGGGUGUAGCGGUGGAAUGCGUAGAGAUCCGGAAGAACACCGGUGGCGAAGGCGGCCUGUUGGGCUAUGGCUGACACUGAGGCGCGACAGCGUGGGGAGCAAACAGG